rnacentral:rRNA from 1 species
GCUAGCGGCAGGCCUAAUACAUGCAAGUCGAACGGUAACAUUGGUGCUUGCACCAGAUGACGAGUGGCGCACGGGUGCGUAACGCGUAUGCAACCUACCUUUUACUAGAGUAUAGCCCAGAGAAAUUUGGAUUAAUCCUCUAUAACAUCUUUUAAUUUCAUGAUUUUAAGAUUAAAGUUUUAACGGUAAAAGAUGGGCAUGCGUCCUAUUAGUUUGUAGGUGAGGUAACGGCUCACCUAGACUACGAUAGGUAGGGGCCCUGAGAGGGGGAUCCCCCACACUGGUACUGAGACACGGACCAGACUCCUACGGGAGGCAGCAGUAAGGAAUAUUGGACAAUGGACGAAAGUCUGAUCCAGCCAUGCCGCGUGCAGGAUGACAGCCCUACGGGUUGUAAACUGCUUUUAUACAGGAAGAAACACUCCGACGUGUCGGAGCUUGACGGUACUGUAAGAAUAAGGAUCGGCUAACUCCGUGCCAGCAGCCGCGGUAAUACGGAGGAUCCAAGCGUUAUCCGGAAUCAUUGGGUUUAAAGGGUCCGCAGGCUGUUUUUUAAGUCAGAGGUGAAAUCCUACAGCUCAACUGUAGAACUGCCUUUGAUACUGGAAAACUUGAGUUAUUGUGAAGUGGUUAGAAUGUGUGGUGUAGCGGUGAAAUGCAUAGAUAUCACACAGAAUACCGAUUGCGAAGGCAGAUCACUAACAAUAUACUGACGCUCAUGGACGAAAGCGUGGGGAGCGAACAGGAUUAGAUACCCUGGUAGUCCACGCCGUAAACGAUGGAUACUAGCUGUUCGUCUAACAUUGGUUAGAUGAGUGGCUAAGCGAAAGUGAUAAGUAUCCCACCUGGGGAGUACGGU